UGGGGAAUUUUGGACAAUGGGGGAAACCCUGAUCCAGCCAUCCCGCGUGUGCGAUGAAGGCCUUCGGGUUGUAAAGCACUUUUGGCAGGAAAGAAACGUCAUGGGUUAAUACCCCGUGAAACUGACGGUACCUGCAGAAUAAGCACCGGCUAACUACGUGCCAGCAGCCGCGGUAAUACGUAGGGUGCAAGCGUUAAUCGGAAUUACUGGGCGUAAAGCGUGCGCAGGCGGUUCGGAAAGAAAGAUGUGAAAUCCCAGAGCUCAACUUUGGAACUGCAUUUUUAACUACCGGCCUAGAGUGUGUCAGAGGGAGGUGGAAUUCCGCGUGUAGCAGUGAAAUGCGUAGAUAUGCGGAGGAACACCGAUGGCGAAGGCAGCCUCCUGGGAUAACACUGACGCUCAUGCACGAAAGCGUGGGGAGCAAACAGG
rnacentral:rRNA from 1 species